UAUAAUUUAGCAGCUAUUUGAAUCAAAAGCUUCUGGUCGUGAAUGUUACUAAAUUAAUGCAGAUUUUCCUAUUGCAUAAGUAAAUAGAGUCAACUAUGUAUACGGCUUGCUCUGUGAAAGAAGGACAGAGUACCCACACUCCUCUCUUGCUUCCUGAUUUGACUCCUCACCUGCUCUCUUUAAUUUCAUCUACUAUAUAACUUCUCUUUUCUUUGUCGAUGCAGAUUAUUUUUUAUCUAUGCCUAUGAGGUGUUUGAUAGAACUCCAAGCAGGUUAAUUGGUGUUGAGCAUCAUCAUUGGUGGUAACCCAAGAUUAGCUGACGAGGAAGUUUUCUGUUUGUUCGAUGGUGACGAGAGAAAUUUGUCUGGGUUAAACCUUUUGAGGCCUGAUCCAUUGCCUCCAUCAUGCUCCAAACCAAGCCGUCCACUAUCAAGGUUUGAGGAAUAUCACUCUGAAGAAGAUUGUGGAUUAAUUCAUUGAUGGUUGGUUUUUUGGUAAUACAUGCUACCUCUCUGCACCUGCCUUCACGGCCUCAUAUCACGAUUGACGCCGGUGGCCUAUAGGCUGAGGUGAGAAAUGCCUCAACACCAUGGUCAUGGUGGUGACAUCUCCAAUCAUGUCCUGCAAGGCAUUGCUUGUCUCUCCGUAACGUGGCGAGAUGAAAUAUGCCUCCCUUGCUAUCUCUAACCUCUUGGAUGCCAGACUCGGCAGAAAUGGGCAUCCUCACGAGCUUCCAAACUCAGUGAUCCACCUCUCCAGCUGCAGAACCACCUUGUUUUUUGGAAACUGAGAAGGUAAAAGUGGGAUGCAAUCUACUAUAUGUUUGCUGAAAUGGCACCUGGAGUGUGACUUGUAUCAGCAUCUCAAGUCUAUUUAUGAGGUUUGCCACUGUUUGCAUCUGCUUCAGGUGUUCCCAUAAGCACUCCUCCAGCAGAUACUGAAAUCCAUCGUACAUCCAGAUACACUCAUGUGGGGCGCAUCACAUAUUUUCUGUUGUUAUUGUCCGAGAUCCAAGCCAUCACAGGGGUGAUUUAGAGUACCUAUAUGAAACAAAAAUGUGGCAGUCGAGAGAGAAAUAAUGUUUAUGUUCAGAUAAGCCUGGAAAUAUGAUGUACGAUGACGGAAUAGAAAGAAGCAUGCACGAAGAGGAUAAUAAACAUGUUUGGGCCCAGAAAAGUCCGGCAUAUUUUUCAAAGUUGGUCUUCUUCUUUGUUGAUCGAUGGGCAACACUAGCUAAUUCUGCAGAGGAAACCAAGAUCGUCCCUGAAGAUCAAGCAAAUCAAUUGUUGUCUGCAUUCUGGAUACAGGCCACUCAGACUGAUAAUAAUCUGUUCAAUUAUGAGGCGAUUAGUCAUUCAUACAGUCUCUCGUUCUUUCUUCCCAUCUUAAGGUUUUUUCACAUGGAUGUAGUUCUUCUGCUAGCAUUCAGAUUUAGUAGUCAAUUUUUUGGCGACAUUGGAGAAUAUUGUAGCUGAACAGGUUCGCAUAUGUUCCAUGCAUAUACUUUUAGCAUGUAUAUAAUCUACAAAGAAAAUUCCAUUUUAGUAAGUACCACCAAAUUUACAGUCGAGUAGUUCAAUCAGUGCGGCUCAUGGCAGAUUAUGGAGAUCCCUCCUGAAAAAAAUAUCCUUUAUUUCUUACUUUGAUUGACUCUGUUAGGAUUUGCCGUUGUUUACCAGCAGGGUCGAGUCUGAGCAAAAAUGCUUUUUAAUUCUUCUCUAUUAUGUAAUUUGAGUUGCUGUUUUGGAAAAAAUUCAAACGAUGGGUGUUACAGAAGGCCCAUGUUCCAGAUUUAGGAAAUGACUUUGCAUUGCUACUUCAAAUGGUGGCUUCACUAGGGAAAUCUGGUCGGUUUUGACACAUACUGGUUCAGUGUACAAGCUAUACCUUACAUAUACUAUCUUGCUUCUCUUCGUUCAGUCCGAAAGAAUAUUUUUGUUUUGAACUUCAUUUUGGAAUGAUGACUAGGUCAGUUGCAUUCUUCACUUACCACCUAAGACCAAUUGGAAGCUAGAAUAUAUGUUCCUUAAUGACGAGAUUGAUUAAUUUUAAUUUCCUAGAUGUUGAAACUUCAAACCUGUUAAAAGUCAGGAGUGGUUGCCCUUGGUUCAAACCUUAAUAUUUUGUGUGUUGUGUUUCAUGCCUAUUUUGUGUACACUCCUUAAAUUUGGUAACAGCCCGUGAAUAUCAGAUGGAGUGGAGAUAUAAAAUGGAUGAAGAUUUUCUCUUUUUACCUUCCACUGCAAAUGUUCGAGUGGACGUAUAAUUAGAUGCCAUCGGAAGCAUCUAUAUGGAAAGGUGUCCAAUAAGUUUCGGAAGCGCACUUUCUACUUAUCUUGGUUUUUGUCGUUUACGAAUACGAAAAUGCCCAUUAUAGAUAUUACAAAGCUUUAGGUGUACCAUUUGAUAUAUUUUGUCUUAUGCCUAUACACUGGAAAGAAAGCAAUGUGAUAUGUUUUAGA